rnacentral:tRNA from 1 species
GCCUGCGUAGCUCAGAGGUAGAGCAACUGAUUCGUAAUCAGUAGGCCGAGGGUUCGAUUCCCUCCGCAGGCU